rnacentral:rRNA from 1 species
AUUGAACGCUGGCGGCAGGCCUAACACAUGCAAGUCGAGCGCGAAAGGCCUUCGGGCUGAGUAGAGCGGCGGACGGGUGAGUAACGCGUAGGAAUCUACCUGGUAGUGGGGGACAACUUGGGGAAACUCAAGCUAAUACCGCAUACGCCCUAUGGGGGAAAGUGGGGGACCUUCGGGCCUCACGCUAUCAGAUGAGCCUGCGUAGGAUUAGCUAGUUGGUGGGGUAAAGCCCACCAAGGCGACGAUCCUUAGCUGGUCUGAGAGGAUGAUCAGCCACACUGGGACUGAGACACGGCCCAGACUCCUACGGGAGGCAGCAGUGGGGAAUAUUGCGCAAUGGGGGCAACCCUGACGCAGCCAUGCCGCGUGUGUGAAGAAGGCCUUCGAGUGUAAGCACUUCACUGGUAGAAAGAUCAUGUUAAUAGCGGUGAGCCUCGACA